rnacentral:rRNA from 1 species
GAGCGUAGGGCGCGAGCGUUUGUCCGGAUUUAUUGGGCGUAAAGAGCUCGUAGGCGGCUUGUCGCGUCGACUGUGAAAGCCCCGCGGCUCAACCGCGGGUCUGCAGUCGAUACGGGCAGGCUAGAGUUCGGUAGGGGAGACUGGAAUUCCUGGUGUAGCGGUGAAAUGCGCAGAUAGUCAGGAGGAACACCGAUGGCGAAGGCAGGUCUCUGGGCCGAUACUGACGCUGAGGAGCGAAAGCGUGGGGAGCGAACAGG